UGGGGAAUAUUGCACAAUGGGCGCAAGCCUGAUGCAGCCAUGCCGCGUGUAUGAAGAAGGCCUUCGGGUUGUAAAGUACUUUCAGCGGGGAGGAAGGGAGUAAAGUUAAUACCUUUGCUCAUUGACGUUACCCGCAGAAGAAGCACCGGCUAACUCCGUGCCAGCAGCCGCGGUAAUACGGAGGGUGCAAGCGUUAAUCGGAAUUACUGGGCGUAAAGCGCACGCAGGCGGUUUGUUAAGUCAGAUGUGAAAUCCCCGGGCUCAACCUGGGAACUGCAUCCGAUACUGGCAAGCUUGAGUCUCGUAGAGGGGGGUAGAAUUCCAGGUGUAGCGGUGAAAUGCGUAGAGAUCUGGAGGAAUACCGGUGGCGAAGGCGGCCCCCUGGACGAAGACUGACGCUCAGGUGCGAAAGCGUGGGGAGCAAACAGG
rnacentral:rRNA from 1 species